GGCGAGGUACCCAAGUCUGGUCCAAGGGGGUGGUCUCGAAAGCCACUGUGCUUGCACGCAGGGGUUCAAAUCCCCUUCUCGUCA
rnacentral:tRNA from 1 species